AUGGACUUCUGAGAAGUAGGAACUGACGACUUGUGGAGUUUGCUUUUUGCUUUCAUUUUUAAAUGGAAUGAGCUGGUGGGAGCUCCCCGAGUCUUGGCCUGGGCUGGUGCCCCCGUCCCUCCCAGGCCCGUCCAGGCCUGGCACACGGGGACAACGGGACUCUGUGGGCAGCCCGAGCGCGUUACAAGAGCCCGAGGAUACAGAACACACUCGCCUUUCAGAACAAGAGAAGAAAAUCCCCCUUGUGGGUUCUGCCAGCUCCCCUGACCUUUAG
rnacentral:lncRNA from 1 species